ACCAUUUCGAAUUUUUAAUUUUUUUAAAUUAAAUAUUGUUAAGCUCAAAAAUUCUUUGCCCCAAUUUAACCAUCUUCGUAUGUCUUAUAGAAUCCGAGAUCUCCAUGUUGAGAGUCGAAUUUGAAACACCCUGUAUAUUGUUAAUCGAAAAGACACAAAAAGUAUUAAAAUAAACUGGUUGCAUAUCACAGAAAUUAAAACUCAAAAAGAGUAUCUUCACAAAAUAUUUAUAAAUAUGUAUCAUGAAGGUGAAGUAGAAGAAAAUGCGGUAGAUCAACAUCAGAAAUAUCUUAAUCUUUAUAAUCUUUCAAUUAAAGUUAAACUCGAUAAACAAAAUGUAAAAUAAUGUAAUACAAAAAUAUCAAUAUCUGAUCAAGCAAUAUUUUCGCUUAUAAAACCUAAUUUUUCCGAUUUAUUAACAGAAAACUGAUUUAUACAAAUUUACUUUUGAUUAUACACAAAAAAGGAAAAUUCUGAUCAUUAGUCAUUUAUUUAACAAAGCCUAUAGUUCAAAUAGUUUUUUCAGUUUAGGUGCUAAAAGAAAUACAGACAUAUAUUGUUGAACCAUUAACAUUUCUAUGUUGACCAGUACAAUCCCACCUGACCUAAAAAAAUCCGUUGUUAUACCUAUCCAUAAAAGGAAACAAUCUCACCUACCAGGCAACUACCGACCAAUCUCAAUAAUAAACAAUAUAGUCAUAACUACUAGAGGUAUGUAUAAGAGAUAAAAUAACAAAAUACAUAGAAAAACAUAACAUUCUUUCGCCGAAUCAGUUUGGGUUUCGCCAAGGGAUAUCAAGGGAAGACGCAGUUUAUGAGAUUUGGUAAAGGCGUUCGAUACUGUUAGUCAUAUUAUUCUUCUAGAAAAGCUUGAAGUUUAUGGUAUGAGGGGUUUGGCUCAAAAUUUAAUUUAAGAAACUAUCUUGAAGAUCGACGGCAGUGUGUAGGAAUUGGAAAUGAGCAAAGUACUUAUAAAAUAGUGCAAUAUGGUGUACCGCAAGGUAGACUAAUCUCGUAUGCAAAUGACACUGUACAAAGCGACAAAUGGAGCGACACAGUCGAGCAUAUUAUACGUGAAUUCGCAAAAGUUCAUCAAUGGUUGGGAGAGAAUAAAUUAACAAUAAAUAUGGAUAAAACAAAAUUUAUGUGUUUUAGUAUUCUUGACAAUUAUCAAUAUGAAGCCGAAGAAA